CACUGGGUACACCCAACUUUGUUGCUUCUUCUACUCUCCUUUUCAUUUCUUCGUAUAAUUUCUACACAUAAAAUGAAACUGAGUCUUCAAAAUACUUGGUGAACAAGUGAGAUGAAAGUAAGAAGAUGAGUAAUAGGUGCAUACAUGGAUGGUUGCCAAGUGUUUGACAUAGUUAUGGUCCUGUGAUUUUGUUGAAGCAACAGUGUUAAAAUAUGCAGCAGGUGACCUUGGUUCCACCUUAAAUCUCUUGCAGAAUGGAAUCCAAUGCUUGGCAAAGGAAGAAGCUUGUAAAAGAGCAUAAAAGGUUACAUCUGAGCCUCCAUCAUCUGAGAGAUACACGCUCAACUUCUCAGCUGGAUAGUCAUAAGCCAUCACAGAUAACACUGUAUUGAUCACCAUCAUCGGUGGCUCCACCACUGCAUCUGCCGUGAACACAAAGAUGUCCACUUCCGGGAACCUACUCUCAUAUCUGCCAAAUUGAAACACACACAUAAUCACAAAUUAGUACACUACAAAAAAAUCAGAUUUAUAGACAGAUUUUUAUCCACAGAGUCCAUAGAAACAUCUACGUAAAGGUGACAAAGAUGAACCUUGGAGAGAGUCUGUUGGGGAAGGUUGUUCUGUAGACCAUGUUCCAUCGAAGGGCAUGAUAAAAAACCCAAUAGAUGCCACCCCACACUUCUGCAACAAACAAACCAAGCCAAGCCCAUUGGCCAGCUUCUCCUUUUGCAGGUAUGUGAGUGAGUCUGAAUGCCCAGACAAAGCAUAUGGCAACAAACAAAGAGACAGCAUAGAGCCUCCGAAUGUGCCUUGCUUUGUCUUUCCUUGUUUCAAACAAAGAGUUCUCUUCACCACUCCCCAUUCUGCCUUCUAACUCACUCCUCUCUCUUCUUGCUCUCUGCAUCCUCAGUUCACUUUCUUAUAUAGCUACAAAAAAUGAUUAUGAUAUUCCACGAGUUUCAAUAUAAUAUUCUGUUAACUUGAAUGUUUUUUGAAAAUAUAAAAUUGGCUCUGAUCGUUCGUUAGCAAGGCAUGAGUAGAUAGGGAAGUGAUAAUUUUGGAAUGGUAGGUAACGAUCCAUGAACAUCACACGCCAUUUUGGAAGGGUAACUGGUCCAUGAGCUACUCAUGUCAUUUUGGAAUCAUAGAUAACCCAGAAAUUUUAUACUAUUAUUUUAAUAUUUUUUCAUAUCAUUUAAUUAUAAAUUUAUCCUUUAUUAUAUAUAUUUAUUUCUAAAUUCAUAUAUAACUCUUAAUUUUCAAACCAUCAUUUUCCAUCCACAAAUUACCACUAGUAUAUGCUACACUGACUUUACCACCAAGACUUCAAAGCAAGUGACGAGUGCGCUGACGAAACCAGACCAAUAUUCACAUGCUAAACUUUGAUCAUAUCAUAACUAUUUUGUUUUCUUAACACAACUUAUUUAACUUAAUUGAUGUUUCGAAACAAAUGUAUAUGUGAUUGAUUUUAUAGUUAGUUUAGUAAUUUUAUUUAUGUGGGUAGGAUUAAAUCAGUAAUGAUACCAAAUAAGAACAUAGAGCAGAAAAGGAGCGUAUAGAUGGAAAGUUCCUUUUGUGUAGUCGCCGUCCACCACCACAGACUCAUAAAAUUCAUUUAAUGGGUGUCACUCUCCAACAUACCCAGCAAAUAUAAGAACCACUCAAAACAUAUUAGGAUUAUGUUUCUAAAAAUAGAAAAAAUGAUGUGGUGAGUAUGAUUUUGGGAGAAUAUGUUAGCAUCCUCCAAUAACGAUUCAAGUAUUUUUUCCACCCUCCAAUUAUGAGUUUCAAUUGUAAGGUUAGAACUGAGAGAGAUAUGUUGUUUUGGAUAGACUCAGUAGUCUUGAAAUAUAGAUUCUCGAUAUUCUUCUCUUGGUCUAUUGUUAAGAAGGCAAUUGUGGAAAAUGAGUUAAUGGGGUUUGGGAGUGGAACUUAAUUUGGAGAAUGAGUCUUUUUGUUUGGGAGGAGGAGCAAGUAAGCCAGCUUUUAGAGAUGAUUUUCAAUAAGAGGCCUGAGUUGGAGACCGCUGACAAAUGGGUUUGGAAGGAUAGCGAGUCUGCAGUGUUUUCAGUCAUGUUUGCUUAUGAUUUAUUAAGGGGAGAGGGAAACGAGGAAGAUUCGAGAAUGUACAAUUUCUUUUGGAGGAUUAAGACGCUUCCUUCAGCUCAUGUCACAACUUGGAGAAUGAUUGAAAACAAGGUUGCUUCUGAGGUAAAUUUGAAGAGACAAGGGAUAGGGGUAGAGAGCAACCUUUGUUGUUUGUGCAGGGUGUCAGAGGAGUCAACAAAUCAUUUGUUCUUUGGAUGCAGAGUUGUUUGGCUAGUUUGGAAUGUUACAAAUGGUUAAGAGCGAGUUCGGUUGAUCUUCUUGCUCUUGGUCCCCAUUUCGAACAAUUCAAAAUUAUGGAUGCGUCUUCUUUGGUCAAUCUUAUUAUGGGUAAUGUUUGGAUCGCAUUGGUUAGCGAGAUUUGGAGACAUAGGAAUAAUUGUUUAUUUAGAGGUGGAGUGGUUGAUCAUACUGAAAUUUUUUCCCUGACACAAGUUAAGGUUUGGUUUUGGAUCUCUUCAAAGGUACAGUAAGUAAGUUUCUCAUUUUAUGACUGGUGCUUUGAACCCCUGGUCGAUUUAAUGUUACUAUAAGGGUGGAGGGGUUGGUCCUAGAUCUUUCUAUUUCUCUUUAGUUGGUAGUGUUGGAGUAGAGAAUAGGAGGUUCCAUUAUGGAUUUUGAUGUGUAUGUGAAAAGGUGCUAUUUGUUCUCUUACUUUGUAUGAGGGUUAGACCAUCCCUUAAGUGAGUCAUUUUAAUUUUAUUGUUUCUUGCUGAUAAAAAAAACCCCUCCAAUAACGAUGAUUACACUUUAUAAUAAUCGUACUCGUAUGUAAAACUACAAUAAAUUGUUAUCGAAUUUUUAGAUAUUUAAGGAUUGAAUAUGUUUUUGGUAUCUGUAUUAUAAUAUAAAAUUGAUUUUUAUUUUUUGUCCAAAUUUUAGGACAUAUGAGUAUUUGUAGUACGUAAAUAAUUAAAAUGAAUCUUUUUAUAUGUGGAAUUGAUUCAAUUUGAGUUUUACUUGAUCAAAACAUUGUAAGUAGUUAUAGUGGACAUCAACCAUUAAAACAACAAUGAAUUUAUUAUUGAUGGUGCUAUAACUAUUUCCAAUAGGUUGAUGAAGUGAAAUCUCAAAUUGAAUCAAUUUUAUAUACAGAAAAAUUUAUUUUAAUCAUUUUCAUACUAAAUAUAUAGAUGAUAGUUUAAAUGAAGGACGAAAUCAUAUUUCAUAUUAUAGAGUACCAAAAACAUAUUUUAACUUUUUUUUAAAUAUUAAUAAUGAUUCUAUAAUUAUUUUUAAAAAUUAAUUUAACUAUUAUUAAAGUUGUAUUUGCAAUAUAAACCAGUGUAACAGGUAAGAAUUCUAGAUUUUUUUUUAAUUUAUCUUUUAAAUGGAUGAAGCUAUAUUAAGAUGAAAGUACAAUAGGAAAAUGACGCAAAUGAAAAUAAAGGGCAAAUAUCACCAGACGUGAAAGUAAAGUGUUACCGAAUUAUAAAUUUAUUCUUUUAUCUUUCUAUUUAUAUUGAUUUGAUCUUUUAUUUUUGAAAUAAUUAUUUUCAUAUCAAUAUAUAUUAAGUAUUAAAAUAAAUAAAUAUUGAAUCGUUUUAGCUGACAACAAGUCUCUAGAUUAAAAUAUGAUAACAAAACUAUAAUCACAUAAAUAUACAUUAAAAUAAAAAACAACUAUAUAUAUAAAUGGCAUAAUAAUUUAAAAUUAUAUUAGAAAUAACAUAAGCGCCUUAAACAGUAAUAAAUAUGUUUAAAUUAUUAAGGACCAUUCUGUUAUUGCAUUAUUAUGCCAAGGACCAUUCUGUUAUUGCAUUAUUAUACUAAGGACCAUUAUGUUAUUGCAUUAUAAUGGUAAUGAAGAGAGUGGUCAUUACAUGAAAUUGCAGAAGCCUAGUUUGUGUUUUAAAGACUAUUUUCAUUUUAAAGUUAUGUUUCUCAUUUUAGCUAAUUUCUAUUUUUUAUUAAUUAAAAAAUUGUUGGACUUUCUAGUAAUAUUACAUAAAUAUAUUUUUUUUUCUUAAUAGUUUGUAUUUUUUUUAAAUGCUACUUCAUACUGGCUUUCUUAAAAUAUCAGUUUCUAAAGUUUAGCCGUCUAUGAGGCAGGCUCAGACACUUCUUUUAAAUGGCGUAUCAGUGUCGACACUCGUAGGACACUUAUUAGUGAAGGUGUUCAAUUCAAAAAAUAUUUGUUGGAUUUUUGAAAAUUUUAGCACGAUUCUAACACAAUUUUAAAAGGUAUAAAUAUAAUAAUUUUCUAAAAAUUCAAAUUUAUUAUAUAAAUUUUUAUUAUGAUUAUAAAAAUAAGGAACAAAUUCUUUUGAACCAAUCAUGAAAAAUAUCUUCAUGCUCCCAAAAGAAUCUCAAACAUACUUUUGCACAUAAAUAUUUAUUUUUAAUUUAUAUAAUUCAAAAUUAUAUAAAAUAUAGAUCCGUGUCCCCGUGUCAUACAUUUUAAAAAUUAUACGUAUCUCCGUAUCCGUAUCGUGUCAGUGUCCGUAUCUAUAUCUGUGUUACAUACUUAACAGUGAAUUUGAAAAUGGAUAAAGAGAACCACCUAACAAAAAUAGGACUAGACAAAAAUAACCCUCAAAUUAGUUAAAAUUGAUAUAUUUAUAAAUAUGCUAAACAAUUCUGGAGCUAACUCAAAAAAAAAAUACACUAUUUCGUUUUCAUCUUAAUUAUUAUAUUAAAGAGUAUUGAAUUUGGAGUGAUUUAAGAGAAAAUACUAAAUAAAUUAAAGUUAUUUGAAUUAAAAUAUGUUUGAGUAGAUUAGUGUGAACAAAUUUAUUAAAGUUUGACAUAAAGAAUUGUUUUGAUUUCUCUUUAUAACCUUUUUAAUUUUUUACAUUAAUAAGAGAAAAGAUAUUUAGUUCUUGCUUUUCUAUCCGAUUCAAUUGGAUUCAAACUUAGCAUAUACUAGAAAUAAACUACAAAAAUUAAAAUAUAAAAACUAUUUCAAAUGUAAAUACAUAAGAAAAACCAAUAUUGUAUUUUUUUUAAAUCUCAGAUAAUAUUUCUUACUUCUUGUAUUUAUACAUUUACUUGCGUUUGGUUGUUCUCAUUCAUCCAAACGAGAUAUAUCAUAAUCAUCUUUACUAUUAAAUUUUUCACAUCUUUUACUAUAAGAAAAUUAUUGAAUAGAAAUAAAUUUUAUAGAAAAAAAUAAUUAGUUGUUACAGUGAUUAAAUUAGAUAUUAUUUUAGAGAAUAACAAAAUUAUUGGUUUCUAAAUUAGUUUCUAUUAGUGAUAAAUAGUUUAUUAAAUUGGUAUCUAAUUAGCUACUAAGGUUUUUUUUACAAAAUUUAGAAUUUAAAUAAUUGGAAAUUCAAAUUAACCUAUAGUGUAAUUAACCUCUAGCACAACUUAGGAUGAAUGUUUAAAUUAAUAACAAAAGUAAUAAUAAUGCCAUGUAUUGAGAAUAUUUCUUUCCAUUAUUUCAAAUUAAUAGUAUGACAAUAAGUACAUAUUUUUCGAUGGAAAGACAAAGAUACUUGCAUAGAAUAAUAGAUAAAAUAAUGAAAGCAAAAUGUCUUUUCUUAUUAGAGGAUAAAACAGAAGACUGCAUAAAUUUACUCAAUUGAAUAGUUUGAAGAACACACAUGCAGUGAAAGCCACUGCAGUAGACUUGAUAGAAACAGAAGUUGGCAUUCUACCCUUAUCCUUCCUCACAAAAAUGGCUUGGUAUAAGGGAAUAUUGAUGACAACUAAAACUCCACACAAAAGAACUUGUAAUGUCAUUUUCUCAGCAGCAAAGGUACCUUUUUGAAGGACCAAAUCCUUUAAAGUUAGAAGCAAGCAAAACAAAUUGAGUAAUGCAAGUGUUGCUAGAACAGUGAAAUAAGGAGAAGAUGUUCCAAAUUCCAUGACCUCUUUCUUGUAACGUUGAGCAACAUCAUCAUCAAUGACCUUUGAUGUGAGUGAAUAUGAUGAAUUUGGAUGUCCAAAGAAUCCUAGGAUGCCGUCUAUUAAGGAAAAAAGAAAGGAACUUGUUUUCACGUACAACCACAUUCUUGUACCAUUCCACCAACCUUGGAUUGAUCCUCCCAUACUCAAACCCUCAAUCAAACUAUAAGCAAUUUCCCCAACAGUUACACAUAUGAAAGGUAUACACCAUAAGCUAGAAAUCUGUUGAUCCAAUAGAUAAAGCACAAAAUGUUAACAACAUUAAAGAAUCAUAUAAAAGCAUAACAUGUUUAUGAUUUAUGGAUUUAAACCCCAUUAAUUAUACAUGAGCUUAUAUUUAACAGUGAGUAUAAAAUCAAACAAUAAAAGAAGACAACUUUCUAUGUUUCAACUUUUAGCUAAUUAUAAAUUUUGUGUAAUUUACAAUGUGAAUUUGUGUUUGAAAGAGGAAAAUGUUGCAAAACUUGUGAUUAUUUUGUGAGAAAAAGUGAUAUUACCUUUGGAAAGAGGGAAACACCCUUAAGGAUAUAAAGUGAAGGGAUGAUGGAGUAAUAUAAUACUGACAAGGAAGUGAUGGCAAAGAAGUUGUGGUGCCAAUAUCCCAAUAGUAGGCAUAUGUUGAUCUUUUGAUCACCAUACCAUUUAGGUCUGAACUUAGAAAGUGUAAGUUGCAUAUGACCUUCACCCCAUCUCUUUAGUUGAACUAGUGUGUGAAGUAAGCUAGUUGGAGCAACACCAGAAAAAGCACUUAUUGAUGGGUUGUAGUAUACUGAUUUCCAUCCAUGUGCAUGCAUCUGCAACCCUGUUAUCACAUCUUCCACAAGACAGCCAUAUAUUGAACCAAUCUACAACAAAAUAAAUCAUUUAUUGUACUUUAAUAAUACUCAAGUAUUAUUAUUGACUAUGAUUAUGAAUGUGACUAUGAAAGUGUAAAAGAGAUUAGUAAAUCACUUUUUUUCCCCAUAAGGUAUUUUUCUCAUAACUGCAAUUUGCUAAAGCUUUCGAUUCUUCUUCGAGUUCAUGCAAGUUUACUUCAGUCACCUCAUUCUCAUUCUGAUCAUUCCAAUCAUUUUUGUAUUCACGACUAAACUUCUUCCACCAGAGAGCAUCUCUUCUAAGAUAGCAACAAGUUCCAAUAAAAAGUGGGCCACCAAAACCAUCAAAACCAUGGAGUUCUACCUUCAAAGUGAUCAAUAAAGUGUGAAAUUAUUUUUAGAGAAAUUUAUCCGUCUUCAUCAUAAUAGCAAUGCUAUCUAUGCCUAAAGUAAGAAAAUUACUACAAAUAUAUUUUCACCAAAAUUAUGUACAUUUAAGAAAGACACAUAUUAUCUUUUAGAUAAAAAAACAAAUAGCAAUACAUAUAGAUGAAAAUACUAACCAUUUUUUUUAUUACAUCGACAAUUUAACUAACUCACCUGCACAAUAUCUGAUAUAGCAUUCGCGUAAAGAUCAUUCUUUCCAAUAUUAUGAAAACAUUGUGGAAAUUGCACGUAAGCAAUUUCUUGACCUUUAUCUUCAUCCAUGAAAAAACACAGAGCAUCUUUCACUGAUUUUGAAUGGGUGGAGUACAUGUCACAAUCCAGAAAUAGAAUGAUUUUCCCAUUACUAAUCGUUGAAGACACUCUUAACUACAUUAAGAUAAAGAAAUAUAAUGUCAUACUCAAUGUAUUUGGAUUGAGUAAUGUUUCGUGAAAGAACUGAUAACCUAUAUAGAGAUUUAUAUAAAUAAUAUAUGGUAAUUUAAUUCAACUAAAAUUUGGAAAUUUUGUUGAUGAGAUAUUAGAAGAAUGAGUCGCAAGGUUAUCAAGAGUUGUAUACGUGAUUCUCCAUACAGAUUUUGUUUUAAGAAGUGAAGGGUUGUAAUUAUGGACAGUACCAAUGCAUUUAUAGCUCCAGCUUUGAAGUUGGUGUGAUAGUGAGGUCUCUUUUCACGAGCCAUAUACACUAAGGUUGGCAAAGUACACCCAUCUACGUCCUUUGACCCUUCUGACUCCUUUUUAUGCAUCAAAAUCUGUUAACACAAUCAAACAUGCAUCAAACUUUCUGCACAUUUCAAACACAUACUUUUACAAAACAAAAAGUUUAGAAAUUUAUGUACUUGAAGGAUAGUAUCGUGAUCACGUGGAGAGGAAUACGAAUCCCAUUGGGAAAAACCAUUAUGCUUUGACCGUGCUUCACUGGGUACACCCAACUUUGUUGCUUCUUCUACUCUCCUUUUCAUUUCUUCGUAUAAUUUCUACACAUAAAAUGCAACUGAGUCUUCAAAAUACAUGUUGAACAAGUGAAAUGAAAGUGAAAAGAUGAUUAAUAUAGGUGCAUACAUGGAUGGUUGCCAAGUGUUUGACAUAGUUAUGGUCCUGUGAUUUUGUUGAGUCAACACUGUUAAAAUAUGCAGCAGGUGACCUUGGUUCCACCUUAUAUCUCUUGCAGAACGGAAUCCAAUGCUUGGCAAAGGAAGAAGCUUCUAAAAGAGCAUAAAAGGUUACAUCUGAGCCUCCAUCAUCUGAGAGAUACACGCUCAACUUCUCAGCUGCAUAGUCAUAAGCCAUCACAGAUAACACUGUAUUGAUCACCAUCAUCGGUGGCUCCACCACUGCAUCUGCCGUGAACACAAAGAUGUCCACUCCCGGGAACCUACUCUCAUAUCUGCCAAAUUGAAAUUCACACACACAUAAUCCUAAAUCAGUACUUAAGUUGGAACAUCCACGUUUCAAAUGAUCUAGAAGAUGAGUGAAGUAAAGGUGGCAAAGAUGAACCUCGAAGAGAGUCUGUUGGGGAAGGUUGUUCUGUAGACAAUGUUCCAUCGAAGGGCUUGAUAAAAAACCCAAUAGAUACCCCCCCACACUUCUGCAACAAACAAACCAAGCCAAGCCCAUUGGCCAGCUUCUCCUUUUGCAGGUAUGUGAGUGAGUCUGAAUGCCCAGACGAAGCAUAUGGCAACAAACAAAGAGACAGCAUAGAGCCUCCGAAUGUACCUUGCUUUGUCUUUCCUUGUUUCAAACAAUGACUUCUCUUCACCACUCCCCAUUGUGCCUUCUAACUCACUCCUCUCUCUUCUUGCUCUGCAUCUUCACUUCACUUUCUUAUAUAGCUACAAAAUCAAUGAUCUUCCAUGAGCUACUGAUGUCAUUUUGGAAUGGUUUUUGAGUUAAUCCUCUUUCUUAUACAGCCACAAAUUAUCUCUAAUCAUGCAUGCUACCUCGAAGACUCCAAAGCAAAAGCCAAAAGCAACUGACGAGUGCACUGACGAAACCAGACCAAUAUUUCUACAUUAACUUGGACCAAAUCAUACUUAUUUUGUUUUCGUAACCAAACUUGUUUAACUUAAUUGAUGUUUCGAAACAAACGUAUGUUUGAUUGAUUUUUAUGGUUAGUUUAGUAAUUUUAUUCAUGUGGGUCGGAUAAAAUCAGUGAUGAUGAGAAAUAAGAACAUAGAGCAGAAAAGGAGCGUAUAGAUGGAAAGUUCCUUUUGAGUAGUCACCGUCCAACCCCACAGACUCAUAAAAAUCAUUUAAUGGGUGUCACUCUCCAACCUACCCAGCAAAUAUAAGAACCACUCAAACCAUAUUAAGAUUCUGUUUCUAAAAAUACAAAAGGAUGAUGUCGAGAGUGUGAUUUUGGGAGAAUAUUUUUGCAUGCAUGCUACCAAUUAUUUAGUUUCUAAAUUUAGUCUCUAAAACCUUGGUUGCUAAUUAGAGACCAAUUUAGAAACUAUUUAACAAUAAUAGAAAAUAAUAUAAACUAAUUUAGAAACCAAUUUUUGUUUUAGUUUCCAAAAUGGUCUCUAAUUUAGUUACUAUUGCAACUAUUUAUUUUGGUCACUAAAAAUUGGUUUCUAUUUCAUGAUUUUCUUUGUAGUGGUAAGAGUUGUAGAUUUUUAUUUUUUUUUGAAUUUAUCUUUUAAAUGGAUUAAACUAUAUUAAGUACAAUAGCAAAAUGACGUAAAUGAAAAUAAAGGGUCAAAUUUCACCAGACGUGAAAUAAAGUGUUACUGAAUUAUAAAUUUAUUCUUUUAUCUUUCUAUUUAUAUUGAUUUGAUCUUUUAUUUUUGAAAUAAUUAUUUUCAUAUCAAUAUAUAUUAAGUAUUAAAAUAAAUAAAUAUUGAAUCGUUUUAGCUAACAACAAGUCUCUAGAUUAAAAUAUAAUAACAAAAUUAUAAUCACAUAAAUAUACAUUAAAAUAAUCUCACGACCAUCACACAACUCACAAAUUUCAAUAAACUUCUCUCACAAAUCUACUUUAAGAUGCUAUAAUCUUAACGCAUUCAUUUUCUUCACACUUUGCUAUCAAAUCCUCACACUUUCACUCAUCAAUCCAAACACAGCCUACGUGAAAUUGCAUUAGGCCCAGCUAAUUUGUGUUUUAAAGACUAUUUCCAUUUUAAAGUUAUGUCUCACAGUGAAAUCUCAUUUUAACUAAUUUCUAUUUUUUAUUAAUUAGAAAAUUGUUUGUCAUUCUAGUAAUAUUACAUAAAUAUUUUUUUUCUUUAUAGUUUGUAUUUUUUUUUAAAUGCUACUUCAUACAGGGUUUCUGAAAAUAUCAGUUUCUAAUGUUAAAAUUUAGUUAAAUAAAUUAGUGAAAAUUUAUAUAUUUAUAAAUAUGGUAAACAAUUCUGGAGUUAACUAAACAAAAUACACAUCACACAACUUCCUUUUCACCUUAAUUACUUGUUUUUUUUUUUUUAUCGGCAAUACCUUAAUUACUUGUAGGUUGUGUUAAUAUCGGGUAGGGAAUUUGAGGGAGUGAAUUUGGAGUGAUUUGAGAGAAAAACCAGAAGAAAGUGAUGUUCUUUAGAUUAAUGUAUGUUUGAGUGAAUUUGUGAGGAAAAAUUUAUCCGUAAGUGAUAUGAUUAUUUGAAUAUUUAUUUUCUUGCUUAAGGGAUAAUGGAUGUUAGAUAUUUGCUUUAUUAGAUAUGUUAUUUAUAACAUACAUGUAGAAAAUAUAGUAAACUAUUUCUCAUUUUGAGAAAAUAACUAUAUUUAUUGGGAUUUUUUUUUUUUACUUAAAUGUGAGUUUUUUAUUUGAAAUGUCAUGCAAACUACAUAAAUUGUUUUUACAUCUAUUUAAGUUUUAUUUCACACAUAACACUAAUAAACAUAUUACUCUAUGACAUAAUUAACAUUAUUCAUAAAUUUUGGUUAAGAAUAUGUUAUUGUAUAAACCGAAAAGGUCUUCUCCAUGUCGUUUAAAUUUUUGGGAUCUUCGACUUCAACACCUAACUUGUCUCGAUACUAGGUCUCUUCUCAGAAAAAGGAAUGGUAUCAGCAAAAGGUCAUCGGAUGCUAAAGUUAAUAAUAAAUGUCACAAAACACGUAUCUUUUGUCUUGGUCCUGACCGUGUAUUUAAAGGGUCAAAGUGGGUUUAUGUGUUGGUGAGCCCGAUUUAUCAUAACUUACCAAGUUAAUCUUAUGAUUAUGAGAGAUUUCGUACACAUGAGUUAUGUUUAAUUAGUUACCUUAGACCGUGGUUAAUCUUGGAUCAUCAGGAUAUGUUAAACUUUUGGAGGGUUCGGUCAUGGUUGGCCUUAUAGUACAUAAUCCCAAUAAAUCAACUCCUCAAAAUUUAAUCACCAAAAUAAAUUUUUGCGCUCACAAAAAUUCAAACAAACAAAGCUAGCAAGAAAUCAAAUAACUAAAAGAGUUCCGUAAUUAUACACCAAUAAUUAUACUUUUUGAAUAAUAAUUCAAGUUUGAGUCCUAAGUCUUAUGUUCAGUCCUUUUAUGUUGUUUCAUAUAUACUAUCUGGAUGAUAUAAAUAUAUAUUAGGUUUUUCUCUAGUGUAAUUAACCUCUAGCAUAACAUAGGAUGAAGGUUUAAAUUAAUAACAGAAGUAAUAAUAACGCCAUGUAUUGACAAUAUUUCUUUCCAUUUCAAAUUAAUAAUAUGACAAUAAGUACAUAUUUUUCAAUGGAAAGGCAAAAAUAUUUAGAUAAAAUAAUGAAAGCAAAAUGUCUUUGCCCAUUAGAGGGUAAAACAAAAGACUACAUCAAUAUACUCAAUUGAAUAGUUUGAAAAACAUACAUGCAGUGAAAGCCAAUGUAGUAGACUUGAUAGAAACAAAAGUUGGCAUUCGACCCUUAUCCUUCCUCACAAAAAUGGCUUGGUAUAAGGGAAUAUUGAUGACAACUAAGAAUCCACACAAAAGAACUUGUAAUGUCAUUUUCUCAGCAGCAAAGGUACCUUUGUGAAGGACCAAUUCCUUUGAAGUUAGAAGCAAGCAAAACAAAUUGAGUAAUGCAAGUGUUGCUAGAACCGUGAAAUAAGGAGAAGAUGUUCCAAACUCCAUGACUCUUUUCUUGUAACGCUGAGCAACAUCAUCAUCAAUGACCUUUGAUGUGAGUGAAAAUGAUGAAUUUGGACGUCCAAAGAACCCUAGGAUACCGUCUAUUAAGGAAAAAAGAAAGGAACUUGUUUUCACGUAUAACCAUAUUCUUGUACCAUUCCACCAACCUUGGAUUGAUCCUCCCAUACUCAAACCCUCAAUCAAGCUAUAAGCAAUUUCCCCAACAAUUACACAUGCGAAAGGUAUAAACCAUACGCUAGAAAUCUGUUGAACCAAAACAUUAAGUACAAAAUGUUAACAACAUUAAAGAAUCAUAUAAAAACAUAACAUGUUUAUGAUUUAUGCAUUUAGUUCACUCAUGAUAUUUUUCAUCUCAAUUUCUCAUUCAUAUAAUUAGUAAAUUAAAAACAAAUAUAAAAAUAUAAUUAGACGAAUAUAAGUCCUAAGUAUCAAAAUAUUUUUGAAGAAAUAUACUCAACUUUCGAUUUCAUUAAUAUACGCAAUUGGUAACAUGGCACAAAAUUCCAUUUCAAAGUAGAAAUUCAAAGUUAAAACUAACAUACCAGAAAAAUUGAUGAAAAUAAUAAUUUGAGGAAAAGUUCAUAAAUUAAAAAACAAACUAGCUUAUUAAAAUCCAAUUAAAUAAAAAUGCCUCUAAAACCCCACUAAUUAUAUAUCAGCUUAAGUGGCAAAGAUUUGGUUUAACAUUGAGUAUAAAGUCAAACAAUAAAAGAAGAAAACUUUCUACGAUUCAACUUUUACCUAAUUAUAAAUUUUGAGUAGUUUACAAUGUGAAUUUGUGUUUGAUAAGGAGUUUCAAAAAAGAAAAUGUUUCAAAAGUUGUGAUUGUUUUGUGAGAAAAAAUGAUAUUACCUUUGGAAAGAAGGAAACACCCUUAAGGAGAUAAAGUGAAGGGAUGAUGGAGUAAUAUAGUACUGACAAUGAAGUGAUGGCAAAGAAGUUGUAGUGUCCAUAUCCCAAUAGUAAGCCUAGGUUGAUCUUUUCAUCACCAUACCAUUUAGGUCUGAACUCAGAAAGUAAAAGUUGCACUUGACCUUCACCCCAUCUCUUCAUUUGAACUAGUGUGUGAAGUAAGUUCGUUGGAGCAAUGCCAGAAAAAGCACUUAUUGAUGGGUUGUAGUAUACUGAUUUCCAUCCAUGUGACUGUAUUUGCAACCCUGUUAUCACAUCCUCCACAAGACAUCCAUAUACUGAACCAAUCUACAAAAAAAUAAUCAUUUAUUGUACUUUAAUAAAUGCUCAAUAUUAUUGACUAUGAUUAUGAAUGUGACUAUGAAACUGUAAAAGAGAUUAGUAAACCACCUUUUUCCCCCAUAAGGUAUUUUUCUCAUAACUGCAAUUUGCUAAAGCCUUUGAUUCUUCUUCUAGUUCAUGCAAGUUUACUUGAGUCACCUCAUUCUCAUUCUCAUCAUUCCAAUCAUUUUUGUAUUCACGACUAAACUUCUUCCUAUAGAAAGCAUCUCUUCUAAGAUAGCAACAAGUUCCAAUAAAAAUAGGGCCACCAAAACCAUCAGCACCAUGGAGUUCUACCUUCAAAGUGAUCAAUAGAGUGUGAAAUUAUUUUUAGAUAAACAUAUCAAUAUUUAUCAUAAUAGCAAUGUUAUCUAUGUCUAAAGUAAGAAAAUUACUACAAAUAUAUUUUCACAAAAAUUAUGUACAUUUAAGAAAGACACGUGUCAUCUUAGAGAUAAAAAAAAUUAAUAUAGAAAUAUGGACAGGUAGAUGAAAAAAUCUAUUACAUCAAUAAUUUAACUAACUCACCUCCACAAUUUCUGAUAGAGAAUUGCCGUAAAGAUCAUUUUUUCCAAUGUUAUCAAAAGAUUGUGGAAAUUGCACAUAAGCAAUUUCUUGGCCUUUAUCUUCAUCCAUGAAAAAACAUAGAGUAUCUCUCACUGAUUGUGAAUGGGUGGAGUACAUGUCACAAUCUAGAAUUAGAAUGAUUUUCCCAUUGCUAAUCGAUGAAGACACUCUUAGCUACAUCAAUGUAAAGAAAUAUAAUGUCAUGUUCAAUGCACCUCGAUCGAAUAAUAUUUCGUGAAAGAUUACUAACCACGCCAUGUAGAGAUUUAUAUAAAUAAUUUAUCGUAUUUUAUUUCAAUUAAAAUUUGAAAAUUUUGUUUAUGAGAUAUUAGAAGAAUAAGUCACAAGGUUAUUUAAAACUCUUUAUAAUAUAUAUAGAGAGAUAGCUAGAUAGAAAUAAUAACAUAUAUAUUAAUUUAUUGCUAUCUACUUUAUUGGGAUGUGAUUCUCCAUCCAAAUUUUGUUGUAAGGAGAGUGAAGGGUUGUAAUUAUGUAUGGUACCAAUGAAUUUAUAGCUCCGGCUUUGAAGUGGGUGUGAUAUUGAGGUCUCUUUUCACGAGCCAUAUACACUAAGGUUGGCAAAAUACACCCGUCUACGUCCUUUGACCCUUCUGUGUCCUUUUUAUGCAUCACUAUCUGUUAACACAAUCAAACAUGCAUCAAACUUUCUGUACAUCUCAAACACAUACUUUUACAAAACAAAAACUUCAGAAAUUGAUGUACUUGAAGGAUAGUAUCGUGAUCACGUGGAGAGGAAUACGAAUCCCAUUGGGAAAAACCCUUAUGCUUUGACCGUGCUUCACUGGGUACACCCAACUUUGUUGCUUCUUCUACUCUCCUUUUCAUUUCUUCGUAUAAUUUCUACACAUAAAAUGAAACUGAGUCUUCAAAAUACUUGGUGAACAAGUGAGAUGAAAGUAAGAAGAUGAGUAAUAGGUGCAUACAUGGAUGGUUGCCAAGUGUUUGACAUAGUUAUGGUCCUCUGAUUUUGUUGAAGCAACAGUGUUAAAAUAGGCAGCAGGUGAUCUUGGUUCCACCUUAAAUCUCUUGCAGAAUGGAAUCCAAUGCUUGGCAAAGGAAGAAGCUUGUAAAAGAGCAUAAAAGGUUACAUCUGAGCCUCCAUCAUCUGAGAGAUACACGCUCAACUUCUCAGCUGGAUAGUCAUAAGCCAUCACAGAUAACACUGUAUUGAUCACCAUCAUCGGUGGCUCCACCACUGCAUCUGCCGUAAACACAAAGAUGUCCACUCCCGGG
rnacentral:lncRNA from 1 species